UUUGUAAAACAUAUCCCCUGAACCAUCAGUGGUAUCAAGAGCGAGAUUUCUGAACCUGGGAGGUAUCAUUCUUUGCGAAGAAAUUGUGCAGUGAAGAAAGGCUUCACGUUGAAAAGAUGGCGGGGAUGAUCCAGAGUAAUCUACCCAUAUUUGACGGAAAGAACUUCGAAGAUUGGUGCGUCAAGAUGGAUGCUAUCCUUGGUUUCCAGGAGAUUGAUGAAAUCGUGAAGAUUGGGUUUAAAGAACCCGCAAAGAACGCUACAGACGAAGAAAAGAAGACGUAUAAAGAAAAUCGAAAGUUAGAUUGCAAAGCACGCAUGAUCUUGCAUCAAUGUAUUUCAGCAACAAUCUUUCAAAAGGUGUCUAAGGCCACGACAGCAAAAGAAACUUGGGAGAUUCUACAGGAUGGAUAUGGAACUGCUGGAAACAUAAAGGAGAUUAAGCUACAGUCACUGAGACGGCAGUAUGAACUUCUGAACAUGGGGGAACAAGAAACUAUCGGAGAAUACAUUGGUAGAAUCCAAGUGAUUGUCAAUGCAAUGAGGGCAUGCGACAAAGUUGUCAAGGACAAGAAGAUUGUCCAUAAAAUCUUGCGAACCCUAACGCCCCAAUACGACCAUAUUGUCGUGGCUAUUGUAGAAAGCAGAGACUUGGAGAAAAUGAAGGUUGAAGAGUUGCAAAACUCGCUCGAAGCCCAUGAACAGCGACUGUUAGAAAGGAAAACUGCAGAAAAGGAUGCAAGUCAAAACAUGAAUCAGGCAUUGCAAGCUAAGAUUCAAAAGGGUCGCGGGUUUGGUAGAGGACGAGGUAGAACACGAGGCGGUCGUGGAGGUCGUAAUGGAGGAAGAUUCUCCAAUAACUCCGAACAGAUCAAAGAAGAAAGCAACAACGAUCAAAGAGAAGGUAGUUAUGGGGGGCGAGGAAAACCCAGAGGAAGAGGAGGCAGAAAGAGCGUCGACAAAAGAAACGUGCAAUGUUUCACGUGUAGUAAAUUUGGCCACUACUCCUCCGAGUGCUGGCAUAACGAAAGCAACAAAAAAAUCAAGAACGACGAAGCUGCAAAUUUGGCACAAGAUACUUGCGACUCAGAAUCGGAACACGUUGUGUUGAUGUGUGUAUCAGAACAAGAUAAAGAAAAGAAAGCAAACAAAGGUAAAGUGCGAGACAGGUGUAACUGCAAAGAAGGAUACGUGCUGCAAUCAGAAAUAACGCAAC
rnacentral:lncRNA from 1 species